AUGUGCUUUCCGCCAAGCCAAAGCUUGGAACCUACAACUACGAAAAAGAGAAAACAUGAUAACUCAAUUACUGGAGCAUCAAAAAGCCAAAUGUUGGAGAAAACAACUAAGGAAAAAGGGAAAGGGAGUAAAUCUGGAUCCGGAGUAGCAAAAAG